rnacentral:rRNA from 1 species
AGAGUUUGAUCCUGGCUCAGAUUGAACGCUGGCGGCAUGCCUUACACAUGCAAGUCGAACGGUAACAGGCCGCAAGGUGCUGACGAGUGGCGAACGGGUGAGUAAUGCAUCGGAACGUGCCCAGUAGUGGGGGAUAGCCCGGCGAAAGCCGGAUUAAUACCGCGUACGACCUACGGGUGAAAGCGGGGGACCGAAAGGCCUCGCGCUAUUGGAGCGGCCGAUGUCAGAUUAGGUAGUUGGUGGGGUAAAGGCCUACCAAGCCUACGAUCUGUAGCUGGUCUGAGAGGACGACCAGCCACACUGGGACUGAGACACGGCCCAGACUCCUACGGGAGGCAGCAGUGGGGAAUUUUGGACAAUGGGCGCAAGCCUGAUCCAGCCAUGCCGCGUGCGGGAAGAAGGCCUUCGGGUUGUAAACCGCUUUUGUCAGGGAAGAAAUCUUCUGGGUUAAUACCUCGGGAGGAUGACGGUACCUGAAGAAUAAGCACCGGCUAACUACGUGCCAGCAGCCGCGGUAAU